UACGUAGGGGGCUAGCGUUGUCCGGAAUCAUUGGGCGUAAAGCGCGUGUAGGCGGCCCGAUAAGUCCGCUGUGAAAGUCCAGGGCUCAACCCUGGGAUGCCGGUGGAUACUGUCGGGCUCGAGUCCGGAAGAGGCGAGUGGAAUUCCUGGUGUAGCGGUGAAAUGCGCAGAUAUCAGGAGGAACACCAAUGGCGAAGGCAGCUCGCUGGGACGUGACUGACGCUGAGACGCGAAAGCGUGGUGAGCAAACAGG
rnacentral:rRNA from 1 species